rnacentral:rRNA from 1 species
GAGUUUGAUCGUAGCUCAGAUUGAACGCUGGCGGCAUGCCUUACACAUGCAAGUCGAACGGCAGCACGGGAGCUUGCUCCUGGUGGCGAGUGGCGAACGGGUGAGUAAUGCAUCGGAACGUAUCCUGGAGUGGGGGAUAACGUAGCGAAAGUUACGCUAAUACCGCAUAUUCUGUGAGCAGGAAAGCGGGGGACCUUCGGGCCUCGCGCUCUUGGAGCGGCCGAUGUCGGAUUAGCUAGUUGGUGAGGUAAAGGCUCACCAAGGCGACGAUCCGUAGCAGGUCUGAGAGGAUGAUCUGCCACACUGGAACUGAGACACGGUCCAGACUCCUACGGGAGGCAGCAGUGGGGAAUUUUGGACAAUGGGGGCAACCCUGAUCCAGCCAUGCCGCGUGAGUGAAGAAGGCC